UUUAAGUGUAACCAUAAGUUUCCACACUUAACUUUGAUCGUCCGUCUUAUUUAAUUUUUUAUAAUUAGUUUUUUUUCUGAUAUGAUAAAAUAUGAAUUGUAUUUUACUCGUGACUUAUGUUUUUAAUUUUUUUUAAAAAAAUUUCAAAUAAAACGGACGAUCAAAGUUGAGCGCGAAAAACCAUAGCUGCACUUAAA
rfam:Oryza sativa (indica cultivar-group) chromosome 7, whole genome shotgun sequence.